rnacentral:rRNA from 1 species
UACGGAGGGUGCGAGCGUUGUCCGGAAUCACUGGGCGUAAAGGCGCGUAGGUGGCGCGAGUAGUCAACGGUGAAGCCCGGGCUCAACCCGGGUCGGCCGUCGAUACUCUCGUGCUUGAGCACUGUAGAGGCAGUGGAAUUCCGGGUGUAGCGGUGGAAUGCGUAGAGAUCCGGAAGAACACCGGUGGCGAAGGCGCCUGCUGGGCAGUAGCUGACGACUGAGGCAC